rnacentral:rRNA from 1 species
AUUGAACGCUGGCGGCAGGCCUAACACAUGCAAGUCGAGCGGAUGACGGGAGCUUGCUCCUUGAUUCAGCGGCGGACGGGUGAGUAAUGCCUAGGAAUCUGCCUGGUAGUGGGGGACAACGUUUCGAAAGGAACGCUAAUACCGCAUACGUCCUACGAGAGAAAGCAGGGGACCUUCGGGCCUUGCGCUAUCAGAUGAGCCUAGGUCGGAUUAGCUAGUAGGUGAGGUAAGGGCUCACCUAGGCGACGAUCCGUAACUGGUCUGAGAGGAUGAUCAGUCACACUGGAACUGAGACACGGUCCAGACUCCUACGGGAGGCAGCAGUGGGGAAUAUUGGACAAUGGGCGAAAGCCUGAUCCAGCCAUGCCGCGUGUGUGAAGAAGGUCUUCGGAUUGUAAAGCACUUUAAGUUGGGAGGAAGGGCCGUAAGUUAAUACCUUGCUGUUUUGACGUUACCGACAGAAUAAGCACCGGCUAACUCUGUGCCAGCCGCCGCGGUAACAC